rnacentral:rRNA from 1 species
GACGAACGCUGGCGGCGUGCUUAACACAUGCAAGUCGAACGGAAAGGCCCUGCUUUUGUGGGGUGCUCGAGUGGCGAACGGGUGAGUAACACGUGAGUAACCUGCCCUUGACUUUGGGAUAACUUCAGGAAACUGGGGCUAAUACCGGAUAGGAGCUCUUGCUGCAUGGGGGGGGUUGGAAAGUUUCGGCGGUUGGGGAUGGACUCGCGGCUUAUCAGCUUGUUGGUGGGGUAGUGGCUUACCAAGGCUUUGACGGGUAGCCGGCCUGGGAGGGUGACCGGCCACAUUGGGACUGAGGUGCGGCCCAGACUCCUACGGGAGGCAGCAGUGGGGAAUAUUGCACAAUGGGCGGAAGCCUGAUGCAGCAACGCCGCGUGCGGGAUGACGGCCUUCGGGUUGUAAACCGCUUUCGCCUGUGACGAAGCGUGAGUGACGGUAAUGGGUAAAGAAGCACCGGCUAACUACGUG